rnacentral:rRNA from 1 species
AUGUCCGGGGACACCGUGCUCAUCUGCGCCUCCGUGGCCGCGCUCGUCCUGCUCUCCGUCUUCACCUUCUUCUGCGCCAGCCGGGGGCGCCACGGGCACGGUUCCUCGUCAUCCUCGUCCCACUCGGAGCAGAGUAUCGACAUCGAGCUUGGCUGCCGGUACGCCUGCGCGGGGAUCGACGAGGCCGAGCUGGCCACAUACCCAACUACGGUAUACUCGCCGGGACGGGUCGACGACGUUCGGCCUGCCACCGCGCCUUCGACCGAUGACAGCGAUCGGCCGCGUGACCACACGACGUGCUCGGUGUGCCUGGCGGAGUACGCGGACGGCGAUGAGCUCCGGCGGCUGCCGGGGUGCCGGCACGCGUUCCACCGGCGUUGUGUCGACGAGUGGCUGCGCCGGCGGCCCAGCUGCCCGCUCUGCCGCACGUCGCCGCAGUCCACCACCGUGAAGAAUUCCUGA